UCCCCUUAUACCCAUGGUAAAAACCGUUUGACUAGAUUUCAUCCAAGAAUUCAAGCACUUGUUGGUUCUGUGGUCUUAAUAUAAUAUUUUGUGACUGACCAUGAGCCUCUUGUCUCCCUGUUUUUCAGGUGAAGUUUAGAGAAUUGUCUCAGGUAUUAAACAGCUUCUUCUCUGAACAAAUGCAAGCUUUCUGUUUCAUAUGUUGCUUAGACUGCUUCCGGUUUUUUUUUUUUUUUUUUCUUUCUUUUUCCUAAUGCAGAGGUCUUAGGUUGACAAUUGACUUAUUGUUUUUGUUCUUCAUUGCAGAUUGGUUUCUGGGUGAGGCAGAGACUCCCACCUUCCUGUUCUUUUUUGUUUGCAUAAGCUUAAAUAUUCUUGCUUCUGUAUCAAUGACGAAGUCAAUUGGCAUCUCCAAACAUGAGCAUCGACAGUAGCAAUUCUGAAUGAUUUAUCCUGGGCUGCCCUGCUCAUGUCAAUUGGCCAUGAGAACACUGUGCAUGCUGAUGAAGAACCAAAUGCAGAUAUGAACUCCUUUUUUGCCCUUAUGGGCUAUUCUCCAGGUGGUAAACGCGUUAGCUUUGCUGAUGAUUUACUGCUUCUUUGUGAUGGCAAGAACAGAUCUGUUCAAAGGCUACAGCGAGCAAAAUUUAGAUGCAAGAGACCCUCCAUCUGUUAAGAUACAAGGUGUUCCUAAAUUGUAGAUUGUCUACGGACAAAGUGUUCCAAUCACAAAUCAAUCGCAAGUGCAUGUGGUGUCCAAGUGUGACAAAAGGAAGAUUCAUCAGGUCCAAGAGCUUGUAUGUUUAUAUGCAGGAUUCUUAUCGGGAUACCAGCCUGCUUUAUACUGGUCCUUAAUCUGAGCAGAUUCAAGUUAUGUUUUGGUCCCCUACCUUGAUUGACACAGCGAGGCUUUCUGCCAUCAUCUUUUUCACCAGAUGAUCCAUCUUCUAUUGUCUGUCGAACAUGGAGAAUGUGAUCUGUCCAUGGCUUCCAUUCCCAAGCAAAGAUUUCCUUUCACGUGCAUCAGAAGCUAAUGGUCCAAAUCGGUCGUACGGGUGUGGUGAUUUGUGCACCUCAAGAGAGUACUCUGCUACUGCGUGUUGCUCUGAUACAGAUAUAUGCCAAUCCACCAGGAGCUGAGAUCUAUCAUGCAGAUGUUUAAUGCGAUACUGUCUCCAACUCUGUUUUAGUGGCGUAAUCGCAUUUCCUGCAGCAAGCAGACUGAAAUGGUGGUGGCUUCCUGCAUUCUGAUACGUGACAAAAAUCCUCUAACUCACCAUUACAGAGAUGUUCACUUUUCUCCACCUCGCUCUCUCUAUGGGGCCGCCAUGUCCUGAAGAAUGAGAGAGCCUGGGUGGUGUUCCAAGGAAGGUGUGUCAGCCAUUGCUCUCCCAGUAAAUGGUUGGAGCCACUGCAUGCUUGUGAGGGAACAAGGAGACUGCUUCCUUUGCAAGGUGGAAAUAUGACCCAAGUAGUCCAAGAUCUAAGCCAGAAUGGAUCUUUACAGUCUGACAAAAGCUGCAAGGUCUAUGAAUGGCGAGCAAUCAGGUUGCAGGGGUAGACGUGGAGUUAUUGCAUCCUGCACAGAAUCGAAGUCAUCUUGGUGAUGAUCUAUCUACACAUGGAAGCACUGUGAAGAACACUGCAGUGCAUGAGCCAACAUGAACAUGGAACAGCUAGGCCCAUGCAUAAGUUUCCAUCAAGGCGUCGGGAUCUGUCCUGGUUAGAACAUCCCUUCACUCUGCAGCAGGGAAUUGUACCUCCCCAUUCAUUGCGGAGCAAAUGCAAGUCAGUGAAAGAGACGACAGGGUGUUCGAAUAGGCCAGAAUUCUGUAAAUUAGAUGCCUCGAUAAGGGUCUUAAUUGGGGUCAUCAAUGAAUAGUGCUUUGAAGGGCCUCAAACUGGGUGUUUGCCGGAGACUGCUACUUCAAAUGGGCUUCAUCUGAAGCUGACAAUAAAUGCAGCAAUUCUACCCCCAGAAAGAAAACUACGUGGCCUGAGUUGUGGGAUCUGAAAUGAAUGAGAGCAGUCAUUGACCUCAACAUCCUUUCAUGUGGGGAGGCAGUGGCAGAAAUCAAGUCCCCACACAACAUCAUUGCAGGUGGAGCACACAAAUGCACAGUGCAGGCCAGCAGAGGAAACGAAGGCCAAGAGGGGAGGAAGAAGAGGAUGAGGAUGAUCUCGUGACCCAUCAUGAUGGAAAAGUGUGAUCAAACCUUGCAGAGAAACUAAGGCAACAAUUACAAGGACUUUAGUAAUGAAAUAAAAUGGAUGAUGAACUAUGUUGUCUUGUUGCUUUCACCAGCCCCUUCUCAACUCAGUUUGUGUGUGGGAUCAUGGGUGAUAUCAGAUUCUGGCUGUCUCCUAUCCUGAUAGGUGACCGGAUGACUUUUCUUUUCACGAAGGAUGUAACAGAUGCUUCAAAGAUAUUAUCAUCGGACUCAACUACAUGAAUUGGUUACUGCAAUUGGGACA